UUCGUAGUGUCGUCUUGCAUGUCUAGAGUUUCGGAGCGAGCUUAGUAGUCGUACAGCAGGCUGCGGGCGGCAGGGCGCCGCGAGGACGUCUAGCGAGAGAACCAGCAGCAGCGGCGCCAGUAGUACUUGUCGAGGCAGACGGAACCUCGGCGGCAUCCGUGACCACUAGAGCUGGGAUGGGUAGGAUGCACGCCUUGCUUGACGGGUAGCAGACCAGUUGGGAUGCCGGCAUCCACGUCGUUUUAAAUGCCGACAUCAUCUCUACCUGGUGGCCGCUGCCGCCCACUGGUUGGGAUUCAUGAUGCAUGUGGGCACGCGCCUGGGGUAGAGGGGUUGUGUUACGUUCCUAGUCAGCUACAGCUAGCUGUACACAUUGACUUGCCGCGCGCCGGAAUGAUAUACGUACGUACUGAGAAAGAUGCAUAGACAUGUUCAAUGUCAUUUUUAUAGCAGAGCACAUGGAUGAAGAUGCCCGCGAGACUUAUUUUGACCAUUAGCGACGUUUGACCACACUUACG
rnacentral:rRNA from 1 species